rnacentral:rRNA from 1 species
UACGUAGGGUGCGAGCGUUAAUCGGAAUUACUGGGCGUAAAGCGUGCGCAGGCGGUUUUGUAAGUCAGAUGUGAAAUCCCCGGGCUUAACCUGGGAACUGCGUUUGAAACUACAAGGCUAGAGUGUGGCAGAGGGGGGUGGAAUUCCACGUGUAGCAGUGAAAUGCGUAGAUAUGUGGAGGAAUACCGAUGGCGAAGGCAGCCUCCUGGGCCAACACUGACGCUCAUGCACGAAAGCGUGGGGAGCAAACAGG